UACGUAGGGGGCAAGCGUUAUCCGGAUUUACUGGGUGUAAAGGGAGCGUAGACGGCAGCGCAAGUCUGGAGUGAAAGGCGGGGGCCCAACCCCCGGACUGCUCUGGAAACUAUGUUACUGGAGUGCAGGAGAGGUAAGCGGAAUUCCCGGUGUAGCGGUGAAAUGCGUAGAGAUCGGGAGGAACACCAGUGGCGAAGGCGGCCUACUGGGCUUUAACUGACGCUGAGGCACGAAAGCGUGGGGAUCGAACAGG
rnacentral:rRNA from 1 species